rnacentral:ncRNA from 1 species
CGGGAGGCGGAUUAAAAGGGAACCGGGUGAGAAUCCCGGACAGACCACGCUGCUGUGAACUUUUAAACAUUCGGACAAUACCUUGGCCACUGGUUUUGUAAUCGGGAAGGCGUCCUGAAUGGAAGUAAGUCAGAAGACCUGCCGGUUCAUAAA